rnacentral:snoRNA from 14 species
AACGGCGAGGGAUGAUGAUUCAAUUAGAUGUGCGAAUGGUUUCAUCAUGAGCUCAAAAACUUUAUUUGGCAUUUUAUAAUCUGACUUCGCCGUC